rnacentral:miRNA from 8 species
CACCGGGAACUUCGUGUCAGCCA